rnacentral:tRNA from 1 species
GAUAAAGUGGCUGAGCGAAAGGCGGUGAAUUGUAAAUUCAUAAACAAGUUAUACUUCUUUAUUA